GAUGAACGCUAGCGGCAGGCCUAAUACAUGCAAGCUGAACGGUAAGAUUUGUAGCAAUACGGAUCCUAGAGUAGCGUAAGGGUGCGUAACACGUAUGCAAUCUACCCGCAACAGGAGGAUAGCUCUUCGAAAGAGGAAUUAAGACUCCAUAAGACCAUUUGAGGGCAUCUGAAGAUGGUUAAACUACAAGGGGUUGUGGAUGAGCAUGCGUCUGAUUAGUUAGUUGGCGGGGUAACGGCCCACCAAGACGAUGAUCAGUAGGGGAACUGAGAGGUUGGUCCCCCACACUGGCACUGAGAUGCGGGCCAGACUCCUACGGGAGGCAGAAGUAGGGAAUAUUGGACAAUGGGUGCAAGCCUGAUCCAGCCAUGCCGCGUGCAGGAAGAAAGCCUUCUGGGUUGUAAACUGCUUUUUUCAGGGGAUAAAAUACCGGUGCGCCGGGAAUUGCAAGUACCUGGAGAAUAAGCCACGGCUAACUACGUGCCAGCCGCCGCGGUAAUAC
rnacentral:rRNA from 1 species